AAAAGGUCAUUGGAACUCAACCCAAACAUGUAAUUCGAUCCAAUCAGGUUAGGAAUAAGACAUCAAUAAACUUUGUUUCUUCUUCUUACGGACUUUCUCAACUCUUCUUUUGUUUCUUGUUCUCAUCUAGAAAUUGCAUUCAAUUUCAUAAACUUUGGUGAUUGCAAUUGCACCGUGAUUUGACACAUCAAUAUAUCUAACAAUAAACCCCUUUAUAAUUAUUUAAUAUAAUAUAGCAAUAUACCAUGGAAAAUUCGGGUUAGAGGAACUUGGUAAUGAUGGCUGUCGGUCGGGGUGGAGCAACUUGCAGAAGCAGUCGCGAUGGCCGGUGAAGCAAGUGGCAACAAAUCGUGUCGGCACGUCGCAUACUCGUGGUGGCUUGGCUUCACGCGAUUGCAUUUGUGAGUUGGCAAUACUACCGAGUACCAACUGCGGUGCUUUUCGGAUUGGAUUAGAUUGGGUAAAAUAGCAGGUUAUGUUAUCUAAUCCGAUCCAAAUCUAAAUUUUUUUGAAUCAAUUCGGCUUGGAUUGAAUUGAAUUGGAUUAUUUGCAUAUCUCUAUCUGUAAUUUGUCGAACUUAUAAAUUUUUUGGUGCAAACACUACUUCUCGAUUUAUUCUAUUAUUUAUUUAUUUAGUAAAAAAGGUAAAUGGCGGGCAAGCCUGCUGGCUCUCAAUCUCAUGCUCCAAACCUCUAUUAAAAUGACUAAAGUACCCAUGUAAGAUUGAGUAGUGGCCAUUAUAAUAUAUUCGAUCUUGGAAUAGAUUGAAUAUGUAACGGGAAAAAAAAAAAAAGGGAUCUGAAGGUUGUUGUUUAAUUAAAGUUGAAAAUAUAUCAAAAUACUUUUCUUGCUCGGAAGUUGAUUUGGUCGACAAAGGAUUUGACUUCGGAAAGAUUAUUUAAAAAAUCCUUUUGAUAUGGGCCAUUUUUCUCUCAAUUAUUUAUUAAACCAUUGAAUACAUAAAACACAAAAUUCAACAACGGCGUAC
rnacentral:lncRNA from 1 species